CAACUUCAUUCUAAGCCAAAGACUAGAAAAUAUGGUGAAGCAUAUCUUCCUUUGGUUUCACCUGCACAAGUGCUGAGGUUUGGGGAAACCUGCAGUCAGCUGAGACUGAAGAAGUCACUUGGAUGAGUGACGAAACGUUUCUCCCACAAAACGCUACGUCCAGAUGAACAGAUUCAACUUUUGGAGAUUUACUUUCCUGGAUGAUUGAGAAUGCAUCAAGACCCAUUUCUGUUUGGAGUUUGCAUGUUACCCCAUGUUCCCCUGUGUGCUGGUUGCUGUGCAGUUGCUGGACUGAUCCUGAGUUCCUGCCUUUUGGUCUCCACACACCUACAGGUGUUUUGUGCCAGAAAUGGAGUGUCCACUGAAGACUGAAGAUACUGAAUCUCUACGCCGUGCCAUUGAUCCCUCCUGUGCCUUCAUCUAGACAAGAGACAUUAACUUAACCACUCUCACAUGCUCUGUACCUACAUCACCUUCCCUGACAGUCGUAGCUUGGCUCAUCUGAGGGUGAAAUUAUAAGAAUGUGUUAUUUUGCAAAGUGCUCUCUAGGGUUCCUAAAUAAAAUAUGGCAUUGAGGUCAUUUCUUUUGAAUUAAUCCCUUCUUCUGAAAUAUAAGAUCCUCUCCUGGUUUAAAUGGCACUUUCUGUUCCUUACUUCCUGUUCCACUCCCAACCCCAAAUAGAUGCUGACAAGCUGACACAGUAACAUGGAAGAGGGAAAGAAGCUGGAAAGGACUACUACAAAUAAACCUAAUGCCUAACAAUGAAAAAUGUAAAAUAAGAAAAAUAAUAAUAAAGAUAAAAGAUGAAGUAACAAGUUUUUUGUUUUUUUGUUUAUUCCAAAUGAUCAUCCAGAUGUCUGUGACAUGUGAUGACAAACACCAUAAUGGAAGGCCUUUGUCAUCACAUGCUUAAACUCAGCAUAUAUUUUUGCAUAUGCUGAACAGGCAGUCAGACAUGCUGUAACUGUG
ensembl:lncRNA